rnacentral:rRNA from 1 species
UGGUGGAGUGAUUUGUCUGGUUAAUUCCGUUAACGAACGAGACCUCGACCUACUAAAUAGUUGACUAAACUCUUCGGGUUUGGAUUGACUUCUUAGAGGGACUUUUGGUGAGUAGCCAAAGGAAGUUCGAGGCAAUAACA